rnacentral:rRNA from 1 species
CACGCAGGCGGUUCUGCGCGUUUCGAGUGACAGCGGGUGGCUUACCUGCCCGAGUAUUCGAAAGACGGUAGGACUUGAGGGCCAGAGAGGGACACGGAAUUCCGGGUGGAGUGGUGAAAUGCGUAGAGAUCCGGAGGAACACCGAGGGCGAAGGCAGUGUCCUGGCUGGUGACUGACGCUGAGGUGCGAAAGCCAGGGGAGCGAACGGGAUUAGAUACCCCGGUAGUCCUGGCCGUAAACGAUGACCACCAGGUGUGGGAGGUAUCGACCCCUUCCGUGCCGGAGGAAACCCACUAAGUGGUCCGCCUGGGGAGUACGGUCGCAAGAUUAAA